GAUGAACCCUACAAUGAGGCAUCAUCUUUUCUGAUAAUUGCACUAAUUACAUUGAUAAUGCAUUUUUUAAGGAGAAUACAGAACUUAAGAUUUUUAACAAAAUAAAAGUUGGCACAAAGAACUUACAAUGAUUAAAUAAUUGAUUUAGCACCACUGCUGCACUUUCUCAAUUUUCAAUCUUGAGACUUCAAUAUCAAUUUCAUUUACUUUGUUUUCAUUAGGAGUUGGACCAAAACAAUGAUGUAUAAGUAUAAGAAAAUUCCUUCACCAUCAAUUUGGGCAUAGCAGUAAUAGUAUG
rnacentral:misc_RNA from 1 species